rnacentral:rRNA from 1 species
GGUUACUGCUAUCGGUGUUCGCCUAGCCAUGCGAGUCAUAUGUUCGUAAGAACAUGGCGUACUGCUCAGUAACACGUGGAUAACCUGCCCUUGGGUCCGGCAUAACCCCGGGAAACUGGGGAUAAUUCCGGAUAACGCACAUAUGCUGGAAUGCUUUAUGCGUAAAAUGGAUUCGUCUGCCCAAGGAUGGGUCUGCGGCCUAUCAGGUAGUAGUGGGUGUAAUGUACCUACUAGCCUACGACGGGUACGGGUUGUGAGAGCAAGAGCCCGGAGAUGGAUUCUGAGACAUGAAUCCAGGCCCUACGGGGCGCAGCAGGCGCGAAAACUUUACAAUGCGGGAAACCGUGAUAAGGGGACACCGAGUGCCAGCAUCCUAUGCUGGCUGUCCGGGUGUGUAAAAUACACCUGUUAGCAAGGGCCGGGCAAGACCGGUGCCAGCCGCCGCGGUAACACCGGCGGCCCGAGUGGUGAUCGUGAUUAUUGGGUCUAAAGGGUCCGUAGCCGGUUUGGUCAGUCCUCCGGGAAAUCUGACAGCUUAACUGUUAGGCUUUCGGAGGAUACUGCCAGACUUGGAACCGGGAGAGGUAAGAGGUACUACAGGGGUAGGAGUGAAAUCUUGUAAUCCCUGUGGGACCACCUGUGGCGAAGGCGUCUUACCAGAACGGGUUCGACGGUGAGGGGCGAAAGCUGGGGGCACGAACCGGAUUAGAUACCCGGGUAGUCCCAGCCGU